UGUAUAAACAUUCCAGACGUCGAUUUAAGGCCCAGAUUUUUAACAGUAUUCACUGCAUAAACCAUCCUAUGAUGCUUUUGCAUUAGAGUUCUUGGGUGCGACUCAAUAAGAUUUUCGAGGAUAUGAGGAGGCACACCUUCUUUUUUUAAGAAAUCCAUAUUUGGUUGCAUUGUACCCUUCAAAUUAAACGUCAACAACCAUGA
rnacentral:misc_RNA from 1 species